CUACUGUUUGGGGAUGAGCCCGCGUACCAUUAGCUAGUUGGUGGGGUAAAGGCCCACCAAGGCGACGAUGGUUAGCUGGUCUGAGAGGAUGAUCAGCCACACUGGAACUGACACACGGUCCAGACUCCUACGGGAGGCAGCAGUGAGGAAUUUUGCGCAAUGGGGGAAACCCUGACGCAGCAACGCCGCGUGAGUGAUGAAGGCUUUCGGGUCGUAAAGCUCUGUCAAGUGGGAAGAAUCUGUACGAUAUUAAUACUAUCGUGCACUGACGGUACCACUGAAGGAAGCAUCGGCUAACUCCGUGCCAGCAGCCGCGGUAAUACGGGGGGUGCAAGCGUUAUUCGGAAUUAUUGGGCGUAAAGAGCGCGUAGGCGGUCUUGUAAGUCAGAUGUGAAAUACCGGGGCUCAACCCCGGAAGUGCAUUUGAUACUGCAGGACUUGAGUAUGGGAGAGGGAAGUGGAAUUCCUGGUGUAGAGGUGAAAUUCGUAGAUAUCAGGAGGAACACCGGUGGCGAAGGCGACUUCCUGGACCAAUACUGACGCUGAGGCGCGAAGGCGUGGGGAGCAAACAGGAUUAGAUACCCUGGUAGUCCACGCAGUAAACGUUGAUCACUAGGUGUAGCGGGUAUUGACCCCAGCUGUGCCGCAGUUAACGCAUUAAGUGAUCCGCCUGGGGAGUACGAUCGCAAGGUUAAAACUCAAAGGAAUUGACGGGGGCCCGCACAAGCGGUGGAGCAUGUGGUUUAAUUCGACAACGCGAAGAACCUUACCUGGAUUUGACAUCCCGGGACCGCCCUUGAAAGAGGGAAAUGCCCUUCGGGGAGCCCGGUGACAGGUGCUGCAUGGCUGUCGUCAGCUCGUGUCGUGAGAUGUUGGGUUAAGUCCCGCAACGAGCGCAACCCUUAUCUUUAGUUACCAUCAUUUGGUUGGGGACUCUAAAGAUACUGCCCCGGUUAACGGGGAGGAAGGUGGGGAUGACGUCAAGUCCUCAUGGCCUUUAUGUCCAGGGCUACACACGUGCUACAAUGGACUGUACAAAGGGUCGCAAUCCCGCGAGGGGGAGCUAAUCCCACAAAGCAGUUCCCAGUUCGGAUUGGAGUCUGCAACUCGACUUCAUGAAGUUGGAAUCGCUAGUAAUCGUGGAUCAGCAUGCCACGGUGAAUACGUUCCCGGGCCUUGUACACACCGCCCGUCACACCAUGAGAGUUGGUUGUACCAGAAGUUGUUGGACUAACCCGCAAGGGGGGUAAACACCUAAGGUAUGGCUGAUGAUUGGGGUGAAGUCGUAACAAGGUA
rnacentral:rRNA from 1 species